CUGAAUAAACUCAUUCCGUAGACAAAGGUCAGACACAUAAGUCCUAUUCGUUUCGUAACUUUUCAAAAAAAUACUUUUGGCAGCCGGAAAACAUAAAUUUCAAUAGUAACCAUGCAGCCAUCCAACUCUGAUGCUAACACCGAGAAAAUCUCUUCCUGCAGCAGCAAAUCCCCACUGGAGGCGGCUGGCAAGCCUGGGAAGUGCCCGUGCCCUGGUGGCCAAGACGGAUGCAUCUGCUCCAAUGGCAUUUGCAUGAAGGACAAGUGCCCGGAUGGCGUCUGCCAGAGGAACCAUCAGGAAGCACCGCCUUCUCUCUAAUCAGGCAUAGAGUAGACCCUUGAAACAGAUUCAGACCUAAAACAGAAUGGAGAUACAAAUAAAAUGCACCUUUUAAA